rnacentral:rRNA from 1 species
AACGGAUCUCUUGGCUCUCGCAUCGAUGAAGAACGCAGCGAAAUGCGAUAAGUAAUGUGAAUUGCAGAAUUCAGUGAAUCAUCGAAUCUUUGAACGCA